ACUCUUCUCUCUCCUGCUGCCAUGUGAGAAGGUCCAAGCUUACUUUCCCUUUGCCUUCCAACAUGAUGAGCUUUGAACCCUGAACCCAGCAUUCUGAGAGUGGGAACCAGAAAUGUGCAUUUGAAAAGACUCCCCAGGCAAUUCUGAUGAGGAGCCAGUGAGCCUGCUGAACCAGGUGACUACUGACAUCUCUUCUUUGAGUGACUUUCGACCAUCCCACAAAUGUCUGCUCGACGGUGUCCUGGAAGAGCUGGGUCAUGGCUCUCAUUACACACUACUCAGCAUCAUACACCAGGUUGUAUCACACAUCUCAUUCACACUACUGAGCAUCAUACACCAGGCUGUAUCACACUUUGUCCGGACUUCAUGAGUCUUCCAGUACAGUGAUGGGACGUAGGUUUUCUAGACUUGCCUAUGGGCUUCUCCU
rnacentral:lncRNA from 1 species